AUUGAACGCUGGCGGCAGGCCUAACACAUGCAAGUCGAGCGAGCGGCGGACGGGGGAGUACUGUUUGGGUACUGCCCGAUAGAGGGGGAUAACUACUGGAAACGGUAGCUAAUACCGCAUACUAUCCGAUAACCUAUAUGGGAUUAGCUAGUAGAGGAGGUAAUGGCUCACCUAGGCGACGAUGCCUAGCUGGUCUAAGAGGAUGAUCCGCCACACUGCGACGGAGACACGGCCCAGACUCCUACGGAGGCAGCAGUGAGGAAUAUUGCACAAUGGGCGCAAGCCUGAUGCAGCCAUGCCGCGUGUAUGAAGAAGGCCCUAGGAUUGUAAAAUACUUUCAUUAGGGAGGCGUUACCUACAGAAGAAGCACCGGCUAACUCCGUGCCAGCAGCCGGGGUAAUAC
rnacentral:rRNA from 1 species